rnacentral:rRNA from 1 species
AUUGAACGCUGGCGGCAGGCCUAACACAUGCAAGUCGAACGAGUGGCGGACGGGUGAGUAAUGUCUGGGAAACUGCCUGAUGGAGGGGGAUAACUACAGGAAACGGUAGCUAAUACCGCAUACCAUCGGAUGUGCCCAGAUGGGAUUAGCUAGUAGGUGGGGUAAAGGCUCACCUAGGCGACGAUCCCUAGCUGGUCUGAGAGGAUGACCAGCCACACUGGAACUGAGACACGGUCCAGACUCCUACGGUAGGCAGCAGUGGGGAAUAUUGCACAAUGGUCGCAAGCCUGAUGCAGCCAUGCCGCGUGUAUGAAGAAGGCCUUCGGGUUGUAAAGUACUUUCAGCGGUGAGGCGUUACUCGCAGAAGAAGCACCGGCUAACUCCGUGCCAGCAGCCGCGGUAAUUC